rnacentral:lncRNA from 1 species
GUCGAGACUCCUCUACCCUGUGCUAAGGUGUAUGAGUUUCGACCCCAGAGCUCUGUGUGCUUCCAUGUUGCUGCUUUAUUUCGACCCCAGAGCUCUGGUCUGUGUGCUUUCAUGUUGCUGCCUUAUUAAAUCUUGCCUUCUACAUUUUAUGUAUGGUCUCAGUGUCUUCUUGGGUACGCGGCUGUCCCGGGACUUGAGUGUCUGAGUGAGGGUCUCCCCUCGAGGGUCUUUCAGGGUAAUUUUUUGUUUUGAUUUGUUUUACAAGACAAGGUUUCUCUGUGUAGCCCUGAAUGUCCUAGAACUCACUGUGUAGAUUGGACUGGCCUCAAACUCAGAGAUCCAUUUGCCUCUGCCUCCCCAGUGCUGGGAUUAAAGGUGUGUGCCACCACAACUGGCAGGCAGGGUUUUGUAACAAAUAGAAAUGUAUUUGGCUUACUGUCUUGGGUCUUGAGGGGUUGCAUCUUUUGGGGGUCUUCACACGUGGCAGGAACAUGGUACAAGAGAGCAUCUUGGGAGCCAGAGGGCCAAACUCUUUUCUUUUUUGGAUAGGGCCUUACUAUCCUCGGAUUCACUAUAUGGACCAGGCUGGCCUUGAACUUACAGACCAGGCUAGCUUUGGACUUACAGAGAUUUGCCUGCCUCUGUCUCCAGGUGCUGCGAUUAAAGGCUGUUGACAU